AUUCAGGUGAUCCGUCCGCCUCGGCCUCCCAAAGUGCCGGGAUUACAGGCGUGAGCCACUGCAGCCAGCCUUGGAAGAAAUUUAAAUGCAUGUUACUAAGCAAGAGAAGCCAACCAAAAAUGCUACAUACUGUAUUACUUCAAAUAUGUGGCAUUCUGGAAAAGGCAAAACUUUUUGGAGACAGAAAAAGGAUCAGCGGUUGCCAGGGUUUAGAGGGAGGGCAGGAUGCAUAGGUGGCACACUGAGGAUAUUUAGGGCAGUGAAACUGUUCUGCAUGACACGGUAAUGGUGGAUGCAUUCCAUUAUACAUUUGUCAAGACCUAUAGAAGGUCUACCACCAAGAGUAAGCCCUACGUAGACUAUGGACUUUGGGUGAUAAUGACCUGUCAAUGUAGGAUUAGCAAUAGUAACAAAUGCACUGCUUUGGUGAAGGACACUGAUAAUGGAGGAGGCUGUGCACAUGUGGGAACAGGGUAUAUAUGUGGGGAAUCUCUGUAUCUUCCACUCAAUAUUGUUAUGAGUCUAAAACUGCUCUAAGAAACAGUCUAUUCUUUAAGAAAUAGGAGAAAAGAGGAGAAGAAAGAGGGGGCGGGGGAAACAGGGAGAUCUGUAGGCUCCUGCGGAAGGUCAUUGCAAAAUACUGGUGAUUCCAGGGAAGGUUGGAACAGCCUCUUUCUGAGAAAAAAUGAGUGUGGCAGAUGUCAGCAGAUACAAUCAUCCUCUGCCGCCUGCUGCUCUUCCUUUAUUCUUGGGUCUCUGAGCUUCUCUUUCUUGUCUGAACCCCUUUGCACACAAGGAUUAGCCAAUCAGAAUGCUUUCUCCCACUGGCAACAGUGAAGACUCCAUCCUGGAGAAUCAGAACCUUCUCUAGGAUUUUUGUUGAACUUUCAACUGUUGGUUGAAAUGGUUGCCGUGGAGAUGGUCUCAGCCUAGAGCGGCUGCUGUUCAGCUUUGGCCCCUGAAGGGAGAACACAUCUGAGGAUGAAGAAUGGUUGAGGCAUUUGUUCCUCUGGUUUUCUCUCUGCUCCAGUGCAGUAGGUUGGCCUUGCCCUUCUUCUGAAGCCCCCGUUUCCAUCGGGUGGCUGGUUUCAUGCAGCUGUGGCUCCUCACAGAUUCCCUCUCUCAGUUGCCAUAACUGCUACCCUCCUUGCUCCUACAGGCACUGGGGCAGAAGUGGUUCCUCCAUUAUUAGCAGCCCAGGGUUCUUUCAACCUGCCUACAUCUGGAAAAUACCUCCUUAUCAAACUCUUCAUCACCAGUGUCAGUUCAUGGUCAGUUUCUUUCCUGAGCCCUGACCCACACCCAGGGAAAGGCCAACCUUCCGUGGCCAAGAUGAAGCCUCUUCCACUGUCAGCUGGGCACUUCUAGGGGCUGUGAGCGCUGAAGAAUGGAGAGAUUCAGGCCAUGUGUGUGGCUCUACCUCCUGAGAAACAGGCGUUAUCAGGCCUGGGCUUUGCUCACAGCACCUGCCGGCUCCUGGGAAGAAGCCACAUCUGCCUCGAACUGCCCUGACUGCCUUUGUUACGAUACCUACCCGUGGCUUGCUUGUGCCAACUCUGAAAACACAGGGCUGCCUGAGGGAGCUCUCGUGUUAGCAAGCAGCAGCUCGUGGGUAAGGAAAGCCCCUUCAUUUAUUAACAUUAAAGUGAUUGCAAACUCGUAGGUGAGAUACUUAUGCAUUGGGCUCUGUCUGGAUAAUUCACCUGUAUUAACUCAGCCGAUCCUCUUAACUCCAUAAGGAAGGAAUCCUUAUUGUCCCCAUCUUAAAGACCUCCGAAACGAAACCAGAGAUACUGAAUGAUUUGCCUGGGAUGACUCCGCUACCACUUGGCACAGCCACGGUGCAAACCCAGUUGGGCUGGCACUGAACACCCAGACUGUAGAUCCCUCCUGCCUGACUCAAGAGCCUCUGUCUAUAUGGAAGCAAUCAACUUAAGGUCACAAGAGGCCCAUUUCAGAAUGGGUUCUGUCCCACACUCUGGAGGAAGGAAUGCUGUAUGAGGAGGCCUAGAAGAAUCUGAACAGACAGGCUUUACUGGAGUUCCCCACUCGGCCCGUUAGUAUUAGACCAGAUCUUUUUGUCCAGUCACAUUUCUACGUGGUUGCCUAUCAAAGAAGUCUCUAUAAAAAGUCCAAGAGAACAGGGUUUGGGGAGCUUCCAGGAGGCAGGAAGGUGAACAAGAAUUCAUCCACAUGCCAGACAGCUGGUGCAUCCCAAAUCCAUGGAGACAGAAGCUCCUGCACUCAGACCCUUCCAGACCUCACCCUACAUGUUUCUUCAUCUGGCUGUGUAUUUGUAUCCUUUGAAAUAUCCUUUGUAAUAAACUGUUAAACAUAA
rnacentral:lncRNA from 1 species